GCUGGACACGGCUGCACCGUUACCGCUAUAGCAGCUUGAGUAGCCACCGCGACCGGCGCCGCCGUCAAAACUUUCCGGCGAUGAAUAUCGCAGAGAAGCUUUUUCUCGCCUCUCCGAAAGCAUUCAUUUGAAAAUUCCCACCGAUCAGAUAGAUGAUCAAAAUCUUACGUAAGUGUUGAGCUGCCGGACGAAACUGGAGAAAUUGUUGUGCUUAAAAUACUUAGGCAGCAAAUCUCGAGCAAACUCUGUCGGAUUCCAAACGAUGAAAGCAGAUCCGUCUUCGUUCCAGGAGAUGACUUCAUCAAUGGCGUGGUCUUCUACAAGCUGAUAAGUUUUAGUCAAAAACGGCGUCGGAAGAGAUCUCGCCGCAUCACCGGCCGUCGAUUCGCCGCCGCCGCUGCGAUCCACCGGUGGCGGAGCCAUACAGCUUCCCCUAACCGUAACCUACAUCAAUCGAAAGAUAAUGAAAAUCUACACAUCAAAAACAACAUCAAUUCACCAAACAACAGCAAAAUCCACACUUACAGACGUCAAUUCAGCUGAUCAAUUCCUCGAGAGAUCCAACUGAGAGCGCAGAGAAAGUCGUCUAGAAGGUUCCGAGUAUGAAUAAAUACAUUUAAGAGAGAGAAAUGAGAGAGCAAAAGAAGAAACUUUUGGAUCGAGAGACCGUCAAAGACCAAAAAGAAGAAAAAAAAAAUGAGAAAAGAAAGGACGAAAAGCAAAAGGGUAAGGAAAUAACAAAGGAAAGAACGAGAAGCUUCGUCUGACGUGGCGGGUUCUGAUUGGCGGGAGCGUACAGCUAAGUAAUUCUGGAUUUGGCGGAACGGAACUGAACAGAACAGAAACGGAAAUAGCGUGUGUUGAAAAUUCUAAAAGCGUGUUCUGGUGCGCAGACUUUAUUAUAUUAACCUUUACUUAAUAAUAUACUACAAACUUGAUCGGUUACUAAUUUUAAUAAAAUGACUCAAAAUGAAAAUUUUUUAAAGUAAAAAAAUAUAGAAAA